GGCCUGCAGUCCAGUCCGGCAAGUCGGCGUUUUUUUUCUCUUUACUGAAGUCAAAUUAUGACUAAAAACUUCACAAGGUGACGGAUAAAGCGAGUAAAUUACACAUACAACUUUUAUUCAAACUUACCUGUAUAAAAUAUGUGGCCGCCGGUGGACCGAGCACGGAUGAAAUCAAAUGUAGCAACCCAACCAGUGGAGCCAAAGAAAAAUGAAAUGGAGCGAGGAAACUCUUCAAAACGACCGAAAAAUGGCAGCACAGAGAAGAGGAGCAACAAAAAAGACAGAAAUGAACCGAGUGAAGGAGCGCGACAAAGCUGGGCAAAGACAUCAAAAUAAAGCUGGACUUCGACAAAACCAAAACCACCUCAAGUCUCCAUAAAGCAGGUAAAUAACACUGACAAGGACGCGGUGCAGUGGGAAUACAGUCAGUACGAGAGAGAGAGGAGACGAGAGAUAAGGCCGUCGGACCCAAACCAGCAUGUCUAAAACUUUUAACAGUUCAGCUCAGGACGAGGAUUGUGGUCAGGUGGCAGACAGGGAUCUCACUCCCAAGCAGUGAUUUCCAGCUUCUCCUCAGGGAUCCGGAGACGUUCCCAGACCUCCAUCUUUGUCUGCUACUCCACAGGUCUAAAACAAACUGUAGUGCUGAUGCACCAUCUCACCUUGAGGAAGACCUGCAGCUCCUGGGACUGUGUGCGCUGCAGG